rnacentral:lncRNA from 10 species
CAUGUCAAGUAGAAGCUAUUAAGCACAUUUUAAAUUAAAAUUACAUAAUGUUAGACAUACCUUUUCCACAAGCAUACUGUAACCUUACUUUUCAUAUUCAACUACUCCCAAGCUGUGUGUCGUUUUUAGAACAUAAAAGGAAGACAGAAUAUAUUUAACCAAAUGCAUUAAAGAACCAGGAGCAGUUUCUGGUCAAGGAUGUACAACCUGAAUCUAAUCAUGAAAAAAAAUCAGACAAACCCCAAAUGAGAAAUGUUCACUGAUACAUCCCAAGUGCCUAGAACGGCUAAAUACAGAGGCCUCAGAGACCUAGAGGAUGGUGAUGAGUAACAAGUUAUAAGGAGCCUCUGCACCUGAAAGACCAUGAUGAAUGCUGUCCACAUCAGAAACACCACUACUGCACUUUGAGUGAGUGAGAAAUGAACUUCUACUGUGGAAAGCCACUGAGAUGUGGUGGUUUGUUUAUGCCAACAGAGUCAAGGAAGCUUUUUUUAAAAGCUAUUUACAAC